rnacentral:rRNA from 1 species
GACGAACGCUGGCGGCGUGCUUAACACAUGCAAGUCGAACGGAAAGGCCCCUUUGGGGGUACUCGAGUGGCGAACGGGUGAGUAACACGUGAGUAACCUGCCCUUUAUUCCGGGAUAACUCCAGGAACCUGGGGCUAAUACCGGAUAGGAAUCCUUUCUCCAUGGUGGGGGUUGGAAAGCUUCGGCGGUUUGGGAUGGACUCGCGGCUUAUAAGCUUGUUGGUGGGGGAGUGGCUUACCAAGGCUUUGACGGGUAGCCGGCCUGAGAGGGCGACCGGCCACAUUGGGACUGAGAUACGGCCCAGACUCCUACGGGAGGCAGCAGUGGGGAAUAUUGCACAAUGGGCGGAAGCCUGAUGCAGCAACGCCGCGUGCGGGAUGACGGCCUUCGGGUUGUAAACCGCUUUCAGCAGGGGCGAAGCUUGUGGUGACGGUAGCUGCAGAAGAAGCACGGGCUAACUACGUG